CACAUGUUGGGGGUUAUAUGAGCAGAGCCAGCUGGAGUCGGGGGUCAGACUAGAUGGCCUGGGAGACCCCUUCUGACUCACUUUGUUUCUAUGAUUCUAAGUUUUAUCUCGGGUCUUGGAAUCUGCUGAACCCAUCUUAGUUCAAGCUUCUCAUUCCUGGCAUUCCUUUGCCUUGGUCCCCUCCUUUUUUCUCAAUUUUGCUUCCAAAAUUAUGUACCUCCAUGCCCUCCUUAUACCAUCCACUCCCGGCACAAGCAUCUUCCUUGUCCACCCCUUUUCUCAUUACAACCCUGCCUACAUCUAUUGCUGGUCAAGCAACACACUCUCACCUGGUCUCUUCCUCCAUGGAAAAACUUUUGCUCUUUCUCCAUUGCUGCCCCUUGCCUGUAGAAAUGCCUCCUUCCCUAAAAUCUCUCCUCAAAACUCAUUUUUGCCUGUGAAGUCUUUGGAAGAACCCCUGGUGCCAAUAUCCAGCUAUGGCUAUGUAUAACUACCAGAAAUAAUUGCUUAUCCUUUCCCUGCCACCAAUUCUUUCAUUUGUUUCCACUGGGACAUGGAGCUGUUCUCUCAUUCUUCCUCAAGAGCCAUGUUCACAGGUGACAUAUAAUUCACAACUUGUGCCUGGAACUUCAGUCAUAAGAGCAACUCCAUAGGGUAUCUGAGUGCAAAUUUAUGGCUCCCUCUGUUUGAUUUGUACCUUCCAGAAGUCAUUCAUUCUGUGGCAUAUACAGGUGGUGUAUUUGUAAGAUCUGCUGCCUGAAGCCCUGGAUCAAGUAGGUAGCCUGAUGUACUCCAGAUGUUUUCUUUUAUCUCAUAAGCCUCAGCCAACAUGGCCAAUGGUUAGGGAUGAUUAGAGCUGUCAUUCAGAACAUCUGGAGGCAGAUGCCUAGAGGACACCCUAGCCUCAGGCAUUUAGUUAUGGAGCAGGGGAAACUGGAUUUAUAAGCUCUGGGGGAAAGAAAAGGAGCCAUACCUACAAAUGCAGGUUUGCUCUUGAGUCAUUGACUUUUCUUACAGCAUUUGAUGAGACACACUGGGGAAGCAGCCCUUAUUGCAAGUACCUUUGCUCCACCUCUCUAAGACAGCCUGGCAGACAGAGCGAAAACCAAGAAGUCCUGCUGUGGAUAUGUGUGAUUCUGGGCUGUGCAGACAUCAGGCAGACUGGAGAGAGAGACAUCUCAGUGCCACGGUGAUGUCACAGGCACAGUGCUGAUUGCUACUUAUGGAUUCCAGCUGGGCUUCAAAUUACUCUGAGGUAAUGCAACCCAAGCAAAUCCUAUUUUCCUCCACACAAGCAGCUUUCAAAAGAGAAGCUCUGUGCCAAGAACUCCUAGCUAAAACAAACAAACAAAUAAACCAUUUCUUGGUCAAGGGAAA